GGGCAAGCCCGCUCCCACAAGGAUUGGUGAUGUGCCUUCUGUGUUUGGCACAACACAAACCCUGUGGGAGCGGGCUUGCCC
rnacentral:misc_RNA from 1 species